rnacentral:rRNA from 1 species
CCUACGGGGGGCAGCAGUGGGGAAUAUUGCACAAUGGGGGAAACCCUGAUGCAGCGACGCCGCGUGAGCGAUGAAGUAUUUCGGUAUGUAAAGCUCUAUCAGCAGUGAAGAAACUGACGGUACCUGACUAAGAAGCACCGGCUAAAUACGUGCCAGCAGCCGCGGUAAUACGUAUGGUGCAAGCGUUAUCCGGAUUUACUGGGUGUAAAGGGAGCGUAGACGGACUUGCAAGUCUGAAGUGAAAGCCCGGGGCUCAACCCCGGGACUGCUUUGGAAACUGUAGGUCUAGAGUGCUGGAGAGGUAAGUGGAAUUCCUAGUGUAGCGGUGAAAUGCGUAGAUAUUAGGAGGAACACCAGUGGCGAAGGCGGCUUACUGGACAGUAACUGACGUUGAGGCUCGAAAGCGUGGGGAGCAAACAGGAUUAGAUACCCCGGUAGUC